rfam:Anopheles gambiae M scf_1925491329 genomic scaffold, whole genome shotgun sequence.
AGUAAGUUACGCCUUGCGAUGGGAUGGGAUCCGAAGCCCUCCGAGAGGCUCUCCCAUCCAACUCCUAUUCCGACACGUCCUCGUCGUGCAGAGCGGUAACAUGUGCCUCCAUAUAUUCUAGCUUGGGGUCACGGGCUAGAUCCAACCCCUUGGGCGGAUGGUGGCAUAUGGCGAACCAGGAAGGG